AGACGUCUACAUUAGAUACCCCUGUAGUCCCAGCCGUAAACUAUGCGCGUUAGGUGUAUCGGUGACCACGAGUUACCGAGGUGCCGAAGGGAAACCGUGAAACGUGCCGCCUGGGAAGUACGGUCGCAAGGCUGAAACUUAAAGGAAUUUGGCGGGGGAGCACCACAACGGGUGGAGCCUGCGGUUUAAUUGGACUCAACGCCGGACAACUCACCGGGGACGACAGCAAUAUGUAGGCCAGGCUGAAGACCUUGCCUGAAUCGCUG
rnacentral:rRNA from 1 species